UUUAUCUGUUAUGUUUGUGGUUUUAGCUUUUGAUGCUGGAUUUACUCUGCCCCUGUAAUCCUGUUUAGUGGAAUCAACCGUAGAGUAUUUGUAGCGCAUUUAUUAUGAUCAGUCAGAGAUUUCAUUGAUGUGUAUGGGUGAGCAUAUGGCCUGUGAACGCCUCCAGGAUCCUUCCCCCAGAGCCAGUGUGUUAUUCCAGUAGUCCAGGCCAAUAAUUGAUCCAGGCCCAGCAGCAUCGUGCUACUGGCAGGUAGCCACAGUGGGUCUGACUGACCUUUGGCCCCAGGUCACUGCUUCUGGUCUUACUCGACUGGCUUUAAAAAGAGAUGAAAACUAUCAAUCACUCGCUGGAUGGAUGCACAUCAGAGGCGAUGCAUAAAUCAAUAUGCAGGAGAGGCUGUCUUUUUCUUUUCAAAUAAUAAAUCAUGCAGCUGUAUUUUUCUGGUGUUUCUGGAUUCUGUGCAGUCCAGCUGUUGCGUCAGAGAUGCCAGGCCGGGUCAGUGAGGACACUGAUUCACCAACUCACUCACAUACCACCCCGGUUGAGUUCCUGCACUGUGAGGCAGAAUUGUUUAACUUCAGUAUGAGGGACGACAGCAUGGCACCGCUUCAUAAACCACAGCUUCUCUUUGAUGUGUUAUUUUUUAUGGGAGAGGAAAGCCUCAUGGGUUGGGCCUUUCUCCUCCUUCACCACCACCACCACCACCUCCUCCUCCUCCUUUAACCCAGCUGGCAUCUGAAUUUCAGCAUACGUUGACCAAAGGUUGGGUGAGCUCAUCAAGAAGGAACGACACUGACGCGUGCAAAGUGAGUAUGACAACGUGACUGUACCUGCAAAUCAUUUACCAAGCGAGCGGAGGGUCAUUUGAAAGAGAGCAAAACCAAAGGGCAGCGCUAUUCACCGAGCUGCACGUGACUCCCGCUCUGCAUGGGAAACAUGGAGCUUGCUAACAUGUAAUUAGUUGUUACUAUUUUCACUCUGCAUCGCCCUGAAGCAGCACAGGGCUGUUGGUUGUACACCCAGUGCCAGGAAAGUUUGAGGCUGUCAGUAUGGCUUUUGAGUCUCUUCAACUUCAGCUAUUAACUUUCUGUAUUGGUCUGAGGAGAGACAGAGGGGGCUGUCCUGACCAGAGGACCCCUCCCUGAAAUGAAUGAAUGAUCCUUCUCACUGUGGGGAAACUUAAAAACAGCUAUCCCGAAUGAAAAAUAAGUUCAGUCAAGAGGCUUUUUUUAAGGAUACUGGCAAUAUCCUCAAAAAGGAAGACAUUGUACAGAAGCAAAGAAAAGUCAUGCUGUAUUCCCAAAACAGAUGUCGUUUUCAUUUUAAAGGGAAAAAGUAGACAGAGAGAGCUGAAAUUCUACAUUUUAGGAAGACUUUGGCCAGCUAUUGUGGAAAACAGGACUGUCCUCCUGAGGGACCUCUCAGUGACUUUGACAUUAAAGCUCAUUUUCCUCUUCCCUAAAUCCUGCUGCACCGGACAUCAUUCAAACUGCAAGCUAAUGCAAACUCCUGGCAUCGCUUCAAAGCAGAGCUGGUGUCUGCCUCACUUCCUCUGCCCCCUUUCCUCUGCUCCUUCGCUCCUCUCCAUCUCGAGUAGCGUUGGAGCAAAGACUACAAAAAAAAAGGCAGGACAGAAACUGCUUUCACCUCUAACCUAUAUCACUAGUGAGUAGGUGAGGAAAUGGAAAUAAAACAAAUUGGCUACUGUGGAUUGUCCAGAAUAGAAGCAGUGCCUCUUUUUGGACUGGGGUACACUCAUGGCUUGCUCUAAUAAAAGUUUUUCACUUUUAAUAAUCACUAAAACAGCACAAACUGUGCACAUCUGACAGGAAAGCUGAGCGGAUUAUUAAGGUGGACUGUGAAGCUAAUAAACAAAACCCUAUACAUGCAACUAGUUUUGGAUAUGAAUGAGUGGAGAAGCCAGGACAGGAAGCAAGCAACCACUUGGAUACUCUGCAUCACUGAGCUGAAUGUGAAUGCUGAGAUAUAGCCUUUCAGUAUCAUUAAGUAUUAAUAUUGAUAAUAUAUUUCAUCAAUAAUUCAAUGGUGUUUUAAGUCCAUGCUCAUGUCUGAAAUUCAUUCAGUACUUUAAUGGUCAGUACUGUAGCUAAUUCAGGAAAUCAGUAUAAAGCUUCUUCAGUCCAAAUAUAUUAAACACAACCAGUUAUACUGAUGAAGUAAAUGUUUUAGUUGGUAAACUAAUCAGUAAAAAUGGCAUACAUGGCUGUUCUAUUCGAUUGCUGUUAAUAGUUACUUGCUGCUGCCAGUGUUGGUGUUCUCUCCAUAUUAAAGGUCUAAGUAACUACAUUUUGGGUCUAAUUAUGCUUGGUUGUAUUCAGAUCAGGUUUGACUCUUCAAGUCCCUUUUGGAUUUGAAAAUGAAUUUAUUUACGUUAUUUAUGUCUUUGCCUGUGCUGCUCUUAUUUUAACCACUUUCUAAAAUCUGACCCCGAACAUGGAAGUGCAAUACUAAAUCAGCGGAGUACCCCUUAAAUACACACAUUUCUGAAGCAAGGAGUUAUGAAGAACCAGUGAAACCUGUCAGAUGGGUAUAAAAUUACUGUCACGUAUUGUUUUUACGUUCACAAAGUGUCAACACACCAUGUGCCGUGGUAUAUGGGACAUUAUGUAUGUCAGUAUGACGAAACAUAAAAAAGAAAGUUGUAAUAACGUUGUAAAAGUAAUUUUUUAACUGUACCAGAGCUAACAAUUACAAGUAUGUUCUUGUACACCAUAAAGUCUAGCCAGGAGUGUAGGAUCAAUUGUUUCACCUUUUCAAGUGCUCAUUUCAAGAUUUAAGUCACUUUAAAAGCAUCAUCUAGGUGGAGGGAUACAGGAGCUAAACUGUAAAAAUGGCUCUACGAGAGAUAACAUUUGUCUUUUGUAUGAUUUGUACCUAUUUUAUUGAUCUUUGGAUAUUGAAUGUUUUUUACUGGAGAACAUUCAUUAGUA